AGAGCAGGACGAGCAGGUAUUGAUGCCAUGGGUGAGAGUAUCCUGAUCCUGCAGGACAAAGAUAUAAACAUGGCCAAAAAGCUACUGUCUGCACCAAUGGAGAAGUGUUACAGUAACCUGCUGCACGAUGGAGGGAGGAGCCUCCUCAGUCUCGUCCUGUCACUCAUCAGGCUAAAAAUAACUACAACUGUAGAACAAGUGAGGGAUUUCAUGAAAGGCA